rnacentral:lncRNA from 1 species
CUCUCUCCGCCACGCCCCGGCACCGGGUAGACACCGCAGCCACGUAACCAAGGAACCCCGAGUGAGGCGUUGGCCAGAUCACUAAAAAGCUUCUCCUUGAAAAAUACUCAUAAGAUGCAACACACACACACACGUGUGUGCACUUACACACGCGGACACCGUCUCACAUCAUCAGUGGGAAAAGUGAUAGAAUCUUGCUAAAGGCUGAUCAUACCAUAUUAAUCCGAUUCGCCAGAACUACUUUCUUCACUGAGCUCUCAGCCUGCUCCCAACCAGGUAUCUCCAGAACUUUUUCUCUCCGCCACCAACUCCGCCUCCAGACAGACCGCAGGUGCUUUCUGUCAUAGGGACUGGCGUGCCGCGGACAGUGUGACAAAGAAACUGCAUGAUGGAUAUGAGAAAUUCGUAAGACCCAGCAGCAAACGGGGAGCGGCUGGCGAGCGCUCCACAGCCCCCAAGUGUGGGAGCUCUAGAUCGGAAUUUGUAAUUUGGAAUUGGAACGUGAGCGCCGGAACAGCUCUCCCAGCAACCACCUCUCCCAGCAACCACCUCAGCUGG